AUCCCCGCAGGGAGAAGAUGGUGCUGGUUGGGAAGUCCCUGAGAGCGAGUCUCCCUGUCUGGCCCCAGUACAGGGGCCUUGGAAUCACACCUGGGCUCAGGUCUGGAGGGCUGGUCAUCAUCUUGUAGGGGAGACACUCCUGUCACUUUUCUGGGUUUAAGAUAAAGAUGUUCGGGCUGGCGCGGUGGCGUGUCCCUGUAAUCUCAGCACGUUGGGAGGCUGAGGUAGAAAGAUCCCUUGAGCCCAGGAGUUUGAGACCAGCCCGGGUAACAUAGCUAGACUCUGUCUCGAAUGAAUGAAUGAAUGAAUGAGGUGUUGGAAUAAAUUCCAGCAAUUUGGGAGGCCGAGUCGGGCAGAUCACUUGAGGUCAGGAGUUUGAGACCAGCGUGGUCAACAUGGUGAAACCCCGUCUGUACUAAAAAUACAAAAAAUUUGCUGGGCGCGGUGGUGCCUGCCUGUAGUCCCAGCAACUCCAGAGGCUGAGACAAGACUCUCUUGAACCUGAGAGGUGCAGGUUGCAGUGGGCCCAGAUCACGCCACUGCACUCCAGCCUGGGCAACACAGCAAGACCCUGUCUCAAAAAAAAAAAAAAAAGAUGGUGUUUUACUAAGAGUCUAAUUUUUGAAGUUCUCUGUGCUGUGCACCUUGAGAAAUAAUGCUGUCCUCAUUAGUUAAGAUGUUUGGAACUAUACAGCACCAUGGUUAUGAGCAGGGACUGUGAAACAGGCUGCCUGGAUUUAAGUCCUGGCUCUGUCUCGGCUAUUUGUAGUCACUUGGAACUCUUCUGUGGCAUCUGAAGCAGAUGGACGAAGCCAAGAGGGCCGAGAGUAUCUCAGCACCUAGAAAUGGACAAGGCUGGUUAUUAGAACAAAGAUUUCGCAGGUGGUGAGUCUCAAAGGCGAAGCUGAAUGGUAGUAUAAUUUUUUUUAAAUUUUAAUUAUUAAAA
rnacentral:lncRNA from 1 species